rnacentral:tRNA from 1 species
UAGAGGGGAUGGGACUGGUGUCCCACCUGGUCUUCAACACCAGUAUCGGGCGGAUAAAACCGGCCGUGGCAGGUUCGAUCCCUGCCCCCUC